GGUACAUUUCUAGCUUGCUAGAAGAUGACGAGUGGCGGACGGGUGAUUAAUGUUUGGGAACUUGCCUUUGCGAGGGGGAUAACAGUUGGAAACGACUGCUAAUACCGCAUAAUGUCUUCGGACCAAACGGGGCUUAGGCUCCGGCGCAAAGAGAGGCCCAUGUGAGAUUAGCUAGUUGGUGAGGUAAAGGCUCACCAAGGCAACGAUCUCUAGCUGUGCUGAGAGGAAGAUCAGCCACACUGGGACUGAGACACGGCCCAGACUCCUACGGGAGGCAGCAGUGGGGAAUAUUGCACAAUGGGCGAAAGCCUGAUGCAGCCAUGCCGCGUGUGUGAAGAAGGCCUUCGGGUUGUAAAGCACUUUCAGUUGUGAGGAAAAGUUGGUAGUUAAUACCUGCUAGCCGUGACGUUAACAACAGAAGAAGCACCGGCUAACUCCGUGCCAGCAGCCGCGGUAAUACGGAGGGUGCGAGCGUUAAUCGGAAUUACUGGGCGUAAAGCGCACGCAGGCGGUUUGUUAAGCUAGAUGUGAAAGCCCCGAGCUCAACUUGGGAUGGUCAUUUAGAAAUGGCAGACUAGAGUCUUGGAGAGGGGAGUGGAAUUCCAGGUGUAGCGGUGAAAUGCGUAUAUAUCUGGAGGAACAUCAGUGGCGAAGGCGACUCCCUGCCCAAAGACUGACGCUCAUGUGCGAAAGUGUGGGUAGCGAACAGGAUUAGAUACCCUGGUAGUCCACACCGUAAACGCUGUCUACUAUCUGUUUGUGGCUUUAAGCCGUGAGUAGCGAAGCUAACGCGAUAAGUAGACCGCCUGGGGAGUACGGCCGCAAGGUUAAAACUCAAAUGAAUUGACGGGGGCCCGCACAAGCGGUGGAGCAUGUGGUUUAAUUCGAUGCAACGCGAAGAACCUUACCUACACUUGACAUGCAGAGAAGUUACUAGAGAUAGUUUCGUGCCUUCGGGAACUCUGACACAGGUGCUGCAUGGCUGUCGUCAGCUCGUGUCGUGAGAUGUUGGGUUAAGUUCCGCAACGAGCGCAACCCGUGUCUUUAGUUGCCAGCAUUAAGUUGGGCACUCUAAGGAGACUGCCGGUGCCAAACCGGAGGAAGGUGGGGAAGACGUCAAGUCAUCAUGGCCCUUACGUCUAGGGCUACACACGUGCUACAAUUGCAUUUACAGAGGGAAGCGAGACAGUGAUGUGGAGCGGACCCCUUAAAGAAUGUCGUAGUCCGGAUUGGAGUCUGCAACUCGACCCCAUGAAGUCGGAAUCGCUA
rnacentral:rRNA from 1 species